UAGGCGCUUUGGGAACCUUUACUGUCAAAAUUUGAACACUGAGUGAGUUUAGGCACCUACAGGGUUAGGUGGUAGCUUAGUGGGGGUUUUGUGGAUCACAGUGGUUCCUAUAACUGGAAUAUAGGCACCUAAAUUUCAGAUUUAGGUGCAUAAAUCCCUCUGGAUGUGGGCCCGUGUCCAUUCAAUCCUGGGUUUCUCAGUGUUCUAGUAGUAUGAAUGUUCUCUGUAAGUGUUUUUGUUGUUUACAUUUAGGCAUCAUUAUGCUGAUUUUUCCAUCUCUCUUUUAGUUUGAGUAAUCCCAGGACCCGAUAAGAAAUGCAACCAAUGUGUUUCAUGCACAUUAAACGGUCAAUAGGAAGACGUACUUGCGCGUCUAGGGCCUAAUCCAGCUCCUAUUAAAAUCAAGAGAGAUGCCAAGGCUGAUCCUGAGCUGAUGUAAAUUGUCCAAGCUUCACUGACUUAAAAUCAACAAAAAAUCAACUGAUAGCUCUCUCUGAACUGUGGACAUGCCUUGAGAGACUAGGUUUCUGUGUUCUAACUAAGCUAGGACUGUAUAAUGGUUGCUCUCUUCCCAGUACAAGAGGAGUGAACAGUCUACUACACACAGCACACUCUCAAAGAGCCCACAGGUAAAUACUCAUGGAUCAUUAUGAUAUCUCUGUUUAUGUGGUCCCAACAUCAUUCCCACUCUUCUAGAGUCAGAGAGUUUUGAUUUUCCAUUUUGGUUCCAGACCUAUGUAAACA
rnacentral:lncRNA from 1 species